rnacentral:tRNA from 3 species
AGAAAGUUAGUCUAAGCAAGACAGUUGAUUUCGACUCAACAGACCAUAGCUUGUCCUAUGACUUUCUU